rnacentral:misc_RNA from 1 species
UCCGAGUUGACCCCGGCAGUCUCCCAUGAGUCCCCACCAUUACGUGCUGGCAACAUGGAACGAGGGUUGCGCUCGUUGCGGGACUUAACCCAACACCUCACGACACGAGCUGACGACAGCCAUGCACCACCUGUAUACGGCCCCGAAGGACACCAUAUCUCUAUGGCUUUUCCGUAUAUUUCAAGCCCAGGUAAGGUUCCUCGCGUUGCGUCGAAUUAAACCACAUGCUCCGCUGCUUGUGCGGGCCCCCGUCAAUUCCUUUGAGUUUUAGCCUUGCGGCCGUACUCCCCAGGCGGGGCACUUAAUGCGUUAGCUUCGGCACGGAGAACGUGGAAUGUCCCCCACACCUAGUGCCCACCGUUUACGGCGUGGACUAC